AGAUGUGAAGUUAUUUGGCUAUAACAGUAACCUUUCAAUGACUUCUAGGGCACCUUCAGCUGGUCUGACUGGGGAGGUAGGAGUUACCAUCCUCCUCAUUUCUCU
rnacentral:sRNA from 1 species